GGCCUCGUAGCUCAGUAGGAUAGAGCGGCGGUUUCCUAAACCGCGUCUUGCGCGCGUUCGACUCGCGCCGGGGCCA
rnacentral:tRNA from 1 species